rnacentral:lncRNA from 1 species
CAGAAGGUUUCCAAUUGACUUUGCCCAGAUCCAUCAAAGGAAUCAUGACCUAUGGCAGUAACAGCCUUAUAAAAUAUAUUUCUCAAAUAAUAAGACUAGAAAGUCAAAAUGAUGCCUCAGUCCAUGGACUACAGAAUAGAUGCCCGUAUGCCUCCGGUGACACACAUUCACACCAUCUGCUGUGGGAUACGCCAGUGCCACGCGUGGUCACAUGGUCUGCACCUGGCAUUCGCCACUGUUCCUGUUUGCACGAGCCCUGUAAAGCGCGGUCGGCUUUCCGGAGCCCCAGGGCUUUUAGAAGAGGGGUAGGCCACUGCUCUUUCAAAGGAGGAGGGAGGCAGAGGGUUGAAGGAUCAGUGAAUUUGCAGCUGACACUAGGCCUCGAGACAUUUUCCCUACUUUUUGCAAAGACCUCAAUCCUAAGGCUAAAAUAUGCAUUACCUAAUCUCAUAAUUCUAUCUCGUUUUUUAAAAUUUUAGAUUCAGGGGUACCUGUGCAGGUUUUUUAUAUGGGUAUAUUUUCUGAUGCUGAGGUUUGGGCUUCUAAUGAUCUGUUGCCCAAGUAGCAAACAUAGUACCCAAUAAGUAAUCUCCCAACCCUUGUUCCCCAUCCUUCCUCCCCUAAUUUAGAGUGUCCCAUGUCUACUCUUCCCAUCUUUGUGUCCAUGUGUACCCAACAACAUCAUAUCUAAUAUGGGAAAGUUGAAAGCAUUUCCUGUAAGAACUAGAACAAUACAAGGAUGCCGACUUUCACUAUUCUUAUUCAACACAGUACUGGAAUUUCUUGCCAGAGCAAUCAGGCAGAAGAAAGAAAUAAAAUGCAUCCAAAUUGGAAAAGAGGAAGUCAAGUUACCCCUGUUUGCUGAUGAUAUAAUAUUAUUCCUGAAGAACCCUAAAGAUGCUGCCCAAAAUUCUUAAAUUUGACAAAGGAAGCAGUGAGCGUCAGGAUACAAAAUUAAUGUACAAAUAUCAGUAGUGUUUAUAUACACAAAUAAUGAGCCAGCCAAAGGCCAAAUCAAGAAAACAAUCCCAUUUACAAUAGCUACAAAAAAAUACCGAGGAAUAUCUUUGACCUAGAAGCUGAAAGACUUCUAGAAGGAGAACUACAAAACACUGAUGAAAAAAAUCCUAGAUGACAUAAACAAAUGAAAAACCCCCACGCUUAUAAAUUAGAAUAUGCAAUAUCAUUAAAAUGACCAUACUGUUCAAGGCAAACUACAGAUUCAACACAAUCCCUAUCAAAUUACCAAUGUUAUUUUUCACAGAAUUAGAAAAAAAAAUCCUAAAAUUAAUAUGGAACCAAAAAAAGGGCCUGAACAGCCAAAGCAAUUCUAAGGAAGAAGAACAAAGCUGGAGGCAUCACAUUACCUGUUUUCAAAUUAUACUACAAAACUAUAGAAACCAAAACAGCAUUGUACUGGCAUAACAUAGACACAUAGAUCAAUGGAGCAGAAUAGACAACUCAGAAAUAAAGCCCCAUACCUACAACCAACUUAUCUUUUAAAAAGUCAACAAAAAUAUAUUCUGGGGAAAUGACACCCUAUAAAUAAGUGGUGCCAGUAAAAUUGGAUAAACACAUAUGGGAUAAUAAAACUGGACCCAUACCUCUCAAAAUAUACAAAAAUAAACUCAAUAUGGAUCAAAGACCAAAGUGUAAGACCUGAAACCACAGAAAUCCUAG